rnacentral:rRNA from 1 species
UUCAGGGGUAAACCUGAGAAACCCGAAAGGUCGAAAGGGGAAAUUCAUUCGCGUUUCGGCCGUCGGAACGAGACGGUCGAGUGACGGACGGCGUACGCGUCGUCCGCGCCUUCCGUUUCGCAAUUCGGCGUCGAACGCGUGCACUUUUCCCCUAGUAGGACGUCGCGAUCCGUUGGGUGUCGGUUUAAGGCUCGCGGUGGAGCCCGGGCGUACGUCUUUGGCGUUCGCGCUCGGACCCGCGGUGUCCCGGCCGACUCGCUCGACGGUAUACAGAUGGCGCGGGGCCGCUACUUUCAGUUAGCGUUCGGCCCGCGGCAAGCGCGUUCGGUGUUGGCGGCGAUCGGACCUGGUGCCGGUCCCGUCCCCGAACGACUGUUGGCUGCGGAGUUCUCGAACAGACCUCGUUUCGAAACGCCGAUCUGCGACGCUAUAGCUUUGGGUACUUUCAGGACCCACGGACCAAGGAGUCUAGCAUGUGCGCGAGUCAUUGGGACAUAACUAAACCUAAAGGCGCAAUGAAAGUGAAGGUCCGCCUCGCGCGGACCGAGGGAGGAUGGGCGGUUCGUACUUCGCGUUCGGCCGCUCCGCACUCCCGGGGCGUCUCGUUCUCAUCGCGAGAAGAGGCGCACCAAGAGC